rnacentral:rRNA from 1 species
CAAUAGCGUAUAUUAAAGUUGUUGCAGUUAAAAGCUCGUAGUUGGAUUUCUAGCGGACGCGACUGGUCUGCCCCGCGAGGGGUUUGCACUGAGCCGUCGUCUGUUAUCCUUGGGAAGAGCGGCCCUGGCAUUUGGUUGUCGGGUCGGGAUUCCCAUCGUUUACUGUGAAAAAUUAGAGUGUUCAAAGCAAGCUUAGGCUCUGAAUACAUUAGCAUGGAAUAAUAAGAUAGGACCCUGGUGGUUUAUUUUGUUGGUUUGCACGCCGAGGUAAUGAUAACAGGGAUAGUUGGGGUGAUUCUGUAUUCAAUUGUUCAGAGGUGAAAUUCUUGGAUUUAUGGAAGACGAACUACUGCGAAAGCAUUUACCAAGGAUGUUUUCAUUAAUCAAGAACGAAAGUUAGGGGAUCGAAGACGAUCAGAUACCA